rnacentral:rRNA from 1 species
UACAGAGGUCCCAAGCGUUGUUCGGAUUCACUGGGCGUAAAGGGUGCGUAGGUGGUGAGGUAAGUCGGAUGUGAAAGCCCCGGGCUUAACCUGGGAAUGGCCGUUGAAACUGGCGAACUGGAGUGUGGCAGAGGGGGGUGGAAUUCCGCGUGUAGCAGUGAAAUGCGUAGAGAUGCGGAGGAACACCGAUGGCGAAGGCAGCCCCCUGGGCUGACACUGACGCUCAGGCACGAAAGCGUGGGGAGCAAACAGG